GAAAGGGCCCAUUCGGCUGAAAAAAAAGGAGAGGGGAGGUGGCGGCCCAAGAGAAAAGAGAAGGGGAGAUGGGCCUGCGCAGGGGAAAAGAGAGGGGGAAGGAGAUGGGCCGGCGGAUAGGCCCAUCCGGCUUGAAGAAGGAAGGAAAGGAAGAGAGGAGGGAUUUCGGCCCAAGGAGAGGAAAGAGAGGUGGAGGGUUUUUGAGAAUUUAAAUAGAGUUGAAGUUUUUAAAAUCCAAUUCAAAUUCUUUUGAAAUUCAAAAGCAAGCAUUCAAACAAAAGCCAAAAUAAAAGAGAAAAGAAAAACUCUACCAAGCACUUAUUGCUUCUAAAAUUAUUUCAAGUGCUCUUUAAUUAUUUAAAGACCGUAAUUUAAAUAAAGUAAUUUAUUUAAUCCUUAGAGCACGAAAAA
rnacentral:lncRNA from 1 species